UACGGAGGGGGCGAGCGUUAUUCGGAAUUAUUGGGCGUAAAGGGCGCGUAGGCGGCUUGAUGUGUCAAAGGUGAAAUCCCUCGGCUCAACUGAGGAACUGCCUUUGAAACUGUCUGGCUUGAGGCCGGGAGAGGGUAGCGGAAUUCCCAGUGUAGCGGUGAAAUGCGUAGAUACUGGGAGGAACACCGGUGGCGAAGGCGGCUACCUGGGCCGGUUCUGACGCUGAGGUGCGAAAGCGUGGGGAGCAAACAGG
rnacentral:rRNA from 1 species